CGGUGGUUGAAACACAUGCUACAGGAAGUGCAACUGCAACAGAGUCAAAGGAAUCCAUAAACUAGUGGCAAAAUUGUGGUCAAGCCAUCUCCACCGUCUUGCUGGGUGCAGACCUUGCUAUCUUACACUGUCACUUGGGCCAGAAAAUGAUGUUGACUUGGGCGGAGGAGUCCUUGUGCCGCAGGCGACACUGAAACGUCUCGUGGAGUCGUACAAGGUGAACCCCUCCAAGUUUGCAAGGUCCCUCAUGAGAGUGCUCUUCACGGAUGAGGAGAUGUUGAACAGGUCAUUGCUUGGCUACAAGGCCAACCGUCAGAAGGACAGAGAAGCCAGGCCAGCCCUAGAUCCCACCAAAGUCAAGGCAGUUCUUGGCACGUGCCAUGUGUACCAAUUCUAAUUCGUUGCAGUGGACGUUUGGUGUAAACCAUUGUUCAUAAUGACUAGACCUCAGAUGCCUAGGCUCAAUAAAUUUGCGUUGGCCCAGGGCGUUGGCACUUUUAUAGUGCAUCAGAAUGCAUAUUUAAGAGGUUAGUGCAUAUUAUGGACGAUCGUGCAUAUUUCCGUAUAUAUGAGUCAAAUACG